CUACGGGAGGCAGCAGUGAGGAAUAUUGCACAAUGGGGGGAACCCUGAUGCAGCAACGCCGCGUGGAGGAUGACGCAUUUCGGUGUGUAAACUCCUUUUAUAUGUCAAGAAAAUGACGGUAGCAUAUGAAUAAGCACCGGCUAACUCCGUGCCAGCAGCCGCGGUAAUACGGAGGGUGCAAGCGUUACUCGGAAUCACUGGGCGCAAAGGACGCGUAGGCGGGUUGGAAAGUCAGGUGUGAAAUCCUACAGCUUAACUGUAGAACUGCACUUGAAACUUCUAAUCUAGAGUAUGGGAGGGGGAGAUGGAAUUAGUGGUGUAGGGGUAAAAUCCGUAGAUAUCACUAGGAAUACCUAAAGCGAAGGCGAUCUCCUGGAACAUUACUGACGCUAAGGUGUGAAAGCGUGGGGAGCAAACAGGGUUAGAUACCCCUGUAGUC
rnacentral:rRNA from 1 species